AAGGCUGUCGGCACUCGUAGUUUCCGGCGGCCGCGGCGGCUUCGAGGCACCGCCUCUCUCCCGCCCCCGACCGAGGCCUGGUUGCCGGGCGGAAAGCUGCCCGAGGGGGCGGUGGCGGCAAGGCGUGGCCGGGGCCGAGUGGGAGUUGAACUGAGUGAGGAGGAGGGGGAAUGGGUGUUGUUUGCCUGGGCCUAUCCGCCGCGCGGGGCUGCCCAAACCACCUCUGCCACCGCCUCCUCGGCUCCAAGCCGCUCCCCGCGGGGCGAGCUCACACCGGGAGCGCUCGGCGAUUGAGCGGGCGGCGGCGUGGGGAGGCGGGGUUUGCUGUCCUCGGGGUUUGAAUGAACCCGGCUUCUUGAAGUUGCGCCCUCGCCUUGCCUUUCUUUGCUCACCUUCCUCUCAGGCCCCCCGCUUUUAGUCCGAGGCCUAUUUUCUCACGGAGAAGGAUCUUCCAUUUUUAUUUGUUGUCUCUCUGACUGGCAGCUGGUGCAGAGCAGUGACCCGCCUUCUAGGGUUGCAUCUUGCCGAAAAGCCUAAGUGGUUGGCCGAGUUCUCAGCCUUACGGAUCUCACAAGAGUCUCCGGGCAAAGAAAAGCCCAGCUCCAUAUGGGUCAGCCCCGCUCAUGGUUUAGUAUAAGCGUAUGGGCAAGUGCAAUUUACAUCUGGCUGCACAAAGCAUUUUAUUGUCAAAUGCACUUGAGCAGUCUCCUGCCCCAGCUUUCCUCCAAAGUCCUGAAGUCUGGAUGAUGCCAUGGAACAUAAUCAGCGCCUGAUUAAGUGUACCAAAGAAAACCUGCUUCUGAGAGGCAAUGUCACUGUCUCUGAACCACAGGUUAAAAAUAAUGCUUUGGGAGGCUGAGGCGAGCGGAUCACAAGACGGGGCGUGGCUCACGCCUGUAAUUCCAGCUCUUUGAGAGGCCGAUGCCGGUGGAUCACUUGAGCCCAGCAGUUCCAGACCAGUUUGGGCGACAUGGUGAAACCCAGGCUCAGCAAAAAUUAGCCGGCGUGGUGGCGCUAGCCUGAAGUCCCAGCUUCUUGUGAGGCUGAGGCAGGAAAAUCGCUUGAGCCCAGGAGGCGGAGGUUGCAGUGGGCCAAGAUGGCGCCACUGCACUCCAGCCUGGGCAGGGAAGGAGGGAGUAAGGGAGGGAAGUAAAGAAGGAAGGGAAGGAAAAUUCUACCCCCUAGUGUGAUGGUAUUAGAAACUAGAAGGUAAGGUCUUUGGGAGAUAAUUAGGAUUAAAUAUGGAGCCCUCAUGAAUGAGAUUAGUGACCUUAGAAGAAUCAGGAGAGAGCUUGCUUCUCCUCCCUGUGCUGUCUUCCAUUUGAAGAUAACAACCAAAAGUCCUCCGUGUGAUACCCGGUGAAAAGCCAGUUUUGCUAGGGAGGUAGUAUUGACAAAGAACCUCUCCUUUGACUAAACUUGAGUCAGGUUCCUCUAAGCCCUCUUUCUGACUAGGUCCUGACCCGGAACUCUGUCCUUAGUUUAGUGGCUCUGUCCAUUUAGUCCAGUUUUAGCAAGAAUCCUGCUGGGUCAGUUGGGCAAAAAUGCCUCACCCUUAGUAUUUGGCCAUACUUGUUAUCUAAUCAAAUUCCUUAUCCCCUGUUAUCAAUAUUUUAGCACCCUGGCCUGCCUUCAGCAAUAAUCCCAUUAAAUUGGUUUAGCCAGAAUCCUUCGUUAUUCGAAAAUUUUCCCUUAGUAAUCCUGCUCCUUAGCUUAGAUCACUAGUUGUCUUUGUAUUCAUAGUUGAGCCCAAUCUGUCACUACCAUUACAAGAUUCCAUUGGAUAGUGUCUCCUUGAAUAAAGUCUUUA